UUCCGGGCACUUCCGUAUACUCAUAAAGCUUAGUAAAAGAUGUUCUGGAGAAGACAAGUUAGUUAGAUGAAGGCUAGGCGUUCUAGGACUCUCUAGCUAGCUAGUAUAGCUAUGUAGCUGGAUUGCUUGGCACCUAGGAAGGAUCUUCGAAGAAAUAAAGAGACAAAGACUCCCGUCGCUCAAAUGGUGGUGGUAAGUGUCGGAGGCCUGAGAAACGCUAGUCUAUUGGCUAGAAUGUUGUUAUGGAGUGUUUAUGAGGACAAGUGGCACGGGAUACGUACAUCUAAAGAAACAAGAGUGGAUCUACGCCAAGCUAGCUAGCUAGAUAGCUGCUCUUUCUAAUCUAUUUCUGUUGCUAAAUUAUGUUUGUUAAGAAGUGGAGCUAUAAUAUACCUGGCUCCUCUUGAUGAUUGUAAGUACUGGGCUGAUGAAAUAGUCCUGUACAAGUUGUCAUCUUUUA